UCGUCUUUUGUUUCUGCUGCUUGAGUUAUAUCAUCAUGCAGAUGAAAAAACAAGGGGUUCUAGGGGAAGUAAUCUCACAGGUGAUCUAAUCAUAAGUUCCUAGCUGGCCCGUAACUUCUUGAGUGAAAAGUUUCAAGCCAGUCCUGUCCAUUGUUGUUGGGAAAAGUUUCAAGCCAGUCCUGUCCAUUGUUGUUGGGUUAAUACCCCUUUGAAAUGCCAGAAGUAACACCCUCAAAGGGGUAUUAACCCUCAAGGGAGCACAUAUUCUUGUUAUGUGUCCUGUCAUCUAACCCCAUCUUGUUUUCCCCAAUGUCCCUUACAUGUCCCCUCCUUAAUUUUAAAUACUUAAAAGACGAUGGAAAUUAUUAUUCUCCAGAGCCUUUGAGAUCUUGCUCCUGGCAUAGGUCAUCAGUUUGGCUCAAAUAAACUCUUUUAAAACUUCUGUACAGGUUUGGAGGGUUCUUACAUUGACAAUCAUGUUUGGCUUCUGUGUCCUUUUAACAUGUUCCUGUCAUUCUUUGGGCAGUUCAUACUUUGCGGCAUGAGGUGUCCCGGGCUCACCUGGAACUUUCCCUGUGUGGUCCUGGAGUCAGUCAUUGCCUCUGCUUCCUCUCUGCAAGUAAAGGAUGAAACUCUGGGCUGCGGACACUUCCUGUCCUUCCUAGGGGCCACAGAAUCCUUGGGAAGGCAGCCUAUAGAAGGACACUAAUCUCAUCAUGAGUGCCUCACCCUCAUGACCCCACCUAACGUGAAUCACAUCCCAAAGGCCCCAAUCUCCAAAUACUACCACAUCGGCAGAGUUUCUCCAUGUGUAUUUUGGCGCGAGCUCGAUUCGGUCCACAGCCACGGCACGUGGAGGAAAAGGCACUAUGGAAGUGUUAGUCUUGAAGAGUGACGUGAUGCAGCCACAGUCCAGAACCCCCUGGAACCACCGGAAGCUGAAAGAAGCAAAGAUUCUUCCCUAGAGCCUUUGGAGACAGUGUGGCCUGCCUACACUUCGAUUUCGGAAUUCUGGCCUCCAGGCCUAUGAAUUUCAACUUUGUUUUUAGCCAUCAAGUUUGUGGUGAGAUGUUACAGUCGCCGCGGGAAACCGAUGGAGGAAUGGUAGUGAUCUCGAAGGGUGAUUUAGAGAGUCUAGGGCAUUCACUGUCUUGUCUGCAUGAAAGCGUCUCUUCUUUCCAUCUCCCACCCCCAAUUCCCCACCUAGAACCCCUAAAAGAGGAAUCGGAUCCUGCCAUUCCUCAGGACAAUUGAAGAACCACCUGGCUAAAAGCCACGUGUUGUGUGCACAGCAGCACACGCAGGAGAGAGACCCGAGGGCAGUCAAGAGAAGAAUGUUUAAACAAACUAGGGUAUUUGUACGAUGGGGCCCACACGACAAGGACCACACACACAGUCACAAGGAUGUGCACUCAGGGAAAGAAGCCAGACACUGACACGCACCCCCCGAGCGGUUCCAUGUACAGGUCAGCAAAGCUUGUCUGUGGUAGGAGAAGUCAGGAUUUCAGUGGCUGGGAGGGGAACGGAGGGCUCCCGGGAGCCAGAGACGGUCCAGUUUUUUGCUAUCAGAGCUGAUCGUGCAGGGUGCUUGUCUGUACAACGUGCGUGCUUUCUCUACAUAUUAUUAGCCUUCCGCAAAAGGUUAAAAAGUUCAUAGAAACAGAAGCUGACUGGUGGUUGUCAGGGGAUGGUGGGAGAGAGAACGUGGCGUGUUGAUUGAUACAAGCUUUCCUUUCCAGGCGAAGAAUAUUUUCUGGAUCUAGAUGGAAGUGGUGAUUGCACCACAUACUGAAUGUAUAAAAUGCCAGCGAAUGUAUAAAAUGCCACUUUAAAAUAUGA